UUGGAGGGCAAGUCUGGUGCCAGCAGCCGCGGUAAUUCCAGCUCCAAUAGCGUAUAUUAAAGUUGCUGCAGUUAAAAAGCUCGUAGUUGAAUUUCGGGACCAAUAUGUCGGUCGUGCCUCGGUACGUACUGGCAUCGUUGGUUUCUUCCUUCUGACGAACCAUGAUGUCAUUCAUUUGGUGUCGUGGGGAAUCAGGACUGUUACUUUGAAAAAAUUAGAGUGUUUAAAGCAGGCUCACGCUUGAAUACAUUAGCAUGGAAUAAUGAAAUAGGACGUUUGAUUCUAUUUUGUUGGUUUCUAGGAUCGACGUAAUGAUUAAUAGGGAUAGUUGGGGGCAUUAGUAUUCAAUUGUCAGAGGUGAAAUUCUUGGAUUUAUUGAAGACUAACUACUGCGAAAGCAUUUACCAAGGAUGUUUUCAUUAAUCAAGAACGAAAGUUAGGGGAUCGAAGACGAUCAGAUACCGUCGUAGUCUUAACCAUAAACUAUGCCGACUAGGGAUCGGAUGAUGUUAAUUUUUUAAUGACUCAUUCGGCGCCUUACGGGAAACCAAAGUGUUUGGGUUC
rnacentral:rRNA from 1 species